UUUUAUGUAUACGAAUAUUUUUUAAUAAUUUUAUGUUUAUAUAAAAAAUAUUUUGGAAAGAUUUCACAAAAUAAAAACGAAUUACUUACUUUGGGCCAUGACUACCAUUCUAACAAAAAAAAAAGAGCCCAUACCCUCAUUUUUAAUUAAGUAAACUUCUUCCCCAAAACCUCCUAUAAACCCACCUACUGCUUCCCCUACUCCCUUUCCCUUGUUUCCCUACUUCAUUCACGAAACACACAAAAAAAAUAAAAAUAAAAUAAAAUUCGCUGCUACUGUCGCCUGCGUGGCUGCUGUCGCCGCUGCACUGCUGCUGCCACCGGCGACCCGUCGCGGCUGCCCGAACCACCAGCCGAGAGGACUUCAUAGAAGGUGACUUGUAGCCUUAAAGUGGCCAACCAAUUUGUGUACUCAAGAUUCAUCACAGGUUUUUGGCAUAAACUGAAAUUACAUCAGGGUGAUGGGAAUUGAGUGGAGCGUUGGUUAAUUACUUAGCUUAUUUCACUUCAUAGACUGAGUUUAUUUUGACUAUAAUUUUACUUCCUAUUUUAUUUGGAUUUUGAAUAAGGGCCUUUAUGGUUCCAACUUGUAAGUCUAAAGCCUGAUUUUGGUUUUUAGU